rnacentral:misc_RNA from 1 species
AAAUAAAUCUUAUAUUUUUGCAGGAUGGCAACUUGAAAAUUGAACAAAAUCCCCGCCUCUUCCAGUCCACAAGACUGCUUCUAUUCAAAUUCCAAUCAGACGAUCCUCAGACCACGGUCCUAAAAUCAUGCCUCCUCCCGCCUUCGCUGGUCAUCAACCAAAGAAAAUCACGAUGAACAAGUUUGGAGGAGGAGUAUCGAAUUUCGGAAGCAAUUACGGGGCCCGGGCCCAGCAACCAGGCUGGUCCCCUCAACCUUCCAUCUAUUCACAGCAAUACACACCGCAACCUUCCAUGCAGCAAAGAGAGGACACUGCCCCUCAGUAUCAGCAACAGUAUCAGUCACCACCGGUACAACAAUACCAGCAAUAUCAACAACCGGCACAGCAACAACAGCAAUACCAGCCACCGCCGCAACAACAAUAUCAGCAAUACCAGCCACCGCCUCAACAACAAUAUCAAGCACCACCGCAACAACAGUCGCCGCGGUCUCCUCAGUAUCAGCCGUAUUCUCUCAACCAGCCGCAGAAGACUUCCGCGGCCACCUUUUCCCCUUCGACUCCUACGUCACAAUACAUCUCGCCUGGAAUGAGCCAGCCCGACUACGUGCGCUCGGAGGAUCCAGUUAAUGAUGAGGUGGACUAUGAGUACGUCCCUGUCAGUCAGAGGAGAAGCGUGUUCAAGGAUAAGCCGGAGAAGCAACCGCAGAUAAAUAGAAGCGGAAGAAGAAGGACAUACGGAUCUCCAGGGGGCGCUGGAGCUUCCCAGUUUGGAACGGACUUUUCCAAGGGUCCCACUCCAGCAGCUGUUACCGUACAGCAGAGACCCCGGCCACCCCCCGUCGUGCACGUACCCGUGAACGCCGCCCCACCGCCCCAGGACGAGCCGGACACCAGCAGCAUCUCAAAGAACUGGUCUGGAACACUGAAGAGCUCAGGGGGACCGAGGCCUUGGGAACAAGAGAAGAAAGAAUACAUCAUGCCAUCCGUGCUUGAACAGGGUCAGCAACAGCAAUCCAGAGGGCGACCCGCUCCGGCUGUUUCGCCCAAACCAUCACGCAGCCCGCAGCCCAGAAAGCCGGCAGCUUCGCCACAGAAACAGAUUGUUGUCAGGUCUGUUCCCAAUGACGAGGCGCAGCAAGAACAACCGCCGCAAGAUGGCGCUAAGGCGGUUCACUUGCAGUACAAUUCUCCUAUGGGAUUGUACUCGAAUCAAAAUAUUGAGGAUACUUACAAUUCCCAAAUCGGUUACCCCGGCCAAAAUACGACAACAUCCACCGUGUCUCCACAGCCAAAACCGGGUGAUCGAGACUGGAACCAAUCUCAUGUGUAUCGCAUGAUCAAUGAAACGCGCACAAACGAGCGACAAGUGUACCCAUCGGGGCAAGGGAACCAGCCAAUCACAACAAAGACUGUCCAGACGACACAGAAGACGUAUUCGUAUGACUACCAACCGACAAUGGAGGAUGGAUACGGUGUAUCCGAAUUCUAGAGACCGCCAUCAUAGCGAGACAAGCGGAAGUCAGCUUGUAGAUAGAUGCGUGCGCAAUUUAAUCUUUAAAAAUAUAUAUGCAGCGGCAAUGACAAUCACUUAUUUUAAUUGGUGCUAUAAAGACAUAUUUAUUUAUUUUUUUGCAAUAACGUAAAGAAACUGUGAUUUUAUAUUUACGUGUUCGCUCUGGUGACGCUUGUGUCUGUCUUGUGAAGUCGUUUCAAUGUUAUGCGCAAACACAUACACCCCUUUGUAAAUAGUCAGUAAUAUAUAUAUAGACAAAAAAAACGUAUUUUGUGGCCUGACUUGCUCUCCCUUUAAUCAUUGUUGUCUUCGGGUUGUUCACUAGAGAGUAACCGUUUAUUUGAUGCUGAUGUGUCAAAAUGUGUUAGCAUGAUUGGAUGCAAAAGGGAUAUCUUUGUAUUAGCUUGAAACACGGCAAUGUAUAUAUAAUAAGAAUUAUUAUUUAUUAAAUUGUUUUUGAUUUGUGAAAUUUUAUGACUUGUGAUAAAAGGCUUUCCUGUC